rnacentral:rRNA from 1 species
UAUUACCGCGGCUGCUGGAGCACAUGGGGAUUCCUACGGGAGGCAGCAGUGGGGGAUAUUGCACAAUGGGGGAAACCCUGAUGCAGCGACGCCGCGUGGAGGAAGAAGGUUUUCGGAUUUAAACUCCUGUCGUUAGGACGAUAAUACGACUACAGAGGAGGAAGCUCCGGUUAACGACGUAUUACCGCGGCUGCUGG